rnacentral:rRNA from 1 species
GACGAACGCGGCGGCGUGCCUAAUACAUGCAAGUAGAACGCUGAAGGAAGGAGCUUGCUCUUUCCGGUGAGUUGCGAACGGGUGAGUAACGCGUAGGUAACCUGCCUGGUAGCGGGGGAUAACUAUUGGAAACGAUAGCUAAUACCGCAUAAGAGUAGAUGUCGCAUGACAUUUGCUUAAAAGGUGCAAUUGCAUCACUACCAGAUGGACCUGCGUUGUAUUAGCUAGUUGGUGGGGUAACGGCUCACCAAGGCGACGAUACAUAGCCGACCUGAGAGGGUGAUCGGCCACACUGGGACUGAGACACGGCCCAGACUCCUACGGGAGGCAGCAGUAGGGAAUCUUCGGCAAUGGACGGAAGUCUGACCGAGCAACGCCGCGUGAGUGAAGAAGGUUUUCGGAUCGUAAAGCUCUGUUGUAAGAGAAGAACGAGUGUGAGAGUGGAAAGUUCACACUGUGACGG